CCUCCCCGCCAGCCACCACCCUCGACCUGUGCCUCCGCCGCCGGACCGCCGCGCCCCCGCUCCAGGCGCUCGGGCCGCCCCGUCCACGCGCCGCCCGGGCCGCCGCGCCCUCCCUGCCUUUCCUCACGCUUCCUCCCCCCGCCGCCGCCGCUCCCUCUUCCGCGGGUCGCCGUGCUCCCUCUCUGUAGCCACGGCCACUCGCUCCACCAGACGCUCGAUGCCCAUGUGGCGCUGCUGUCGCACGCGGCGGCAAAGGGUUCCACGGCGGAGACAUGGAAGAAGGAUGGCGGGGGUGGGGCCAUUGCCAUAGAUGAGCGCAGCCCCGAGCAGAUCCGAUUAGGAUCCUUCUCUCCAUCUCACUCUCUUUGUGCCUUCUCCCCUCCCUGCUCUCCCGUCUCUCUCAAUCUGCAGCAAGGCGUCGCGGGCUCGCGGCUGUGACGGGGCGGCGUAAGGGCCUGCGGCGGCGGUAGACGAUCCAGAUUGAGAAGGUCACAUGAGUUUGCCAGCAGCACCCAUCUGUGUAUGCUCAAUUACCUAUCAGUAAAGAUAUACAUAUCAUUUGGUGGAAUAUCUGAGGAGCAAUCGUAUCACAAGGAUGCACAUGCAGAACAAGCCCGGUUGUCAAAGGUUCAAAUACUGUGUACUUAAUGAGUUGUAUUUUGUGAAUCCUUAUUACUGUGUUUCAUGAAUCUAGACAAUGAUAAUACUAAUCCAGACUUUGUCGGUAUGGAUGAUGUUGUAGCCGCAAUUGAGCCUCCACCUCCUAUGUUUUUUGAAGGGCUUGGGAAUGACACUAAUAAAGUGGAUGUGCAAGCUCAAACCAACGAGGUUACGAUGUGAUUAAUUUCUUAGAAGUUCAUAUAUGUUCUGCUUCGUGUCAUCUUUAGUGCUUCAAGGGCAAACGGCUAGAUUCAAUUUGGAGCAUCGCGGGAAGGAGCAGGCAGCAGCGCCAAUACACUGAGGGUGGAGCAGCAGAGUCACCUGAUCUACCAGUAUGUCUGAUUGAUGCUGCCCACUGCUCCAUCAGCUUGCAUCCAGCAUCUCUAAAUUAGCAUUAUGUCAGGUUCUCGAUAUAUUUGCAAUGGAUUAAACAAUGGGCCUCUCUUGAUUCACACAUGUUCACAUUUCAAGCUAUUUGAUGCUUGCGAAGCUUUACCACUAAUCCACAUCUUCUUUGCUCAAGUAAUUCAAGGCUGUGCAAUGUGAGAUAAUCAUGUAUGGUGUUACCGAAUGGGCUGGAAAGUUUCUAAAUUAUGAGCUCUGCAUGAUUAAGCGGCGUCGGGACCUGUACUUCAUUUAUUGCAGAGCAAGAAAGGAACAUCAAAGAAGCUGUUAAAAUGGAUGGGAGAAUUUGCUAAAACAUGUUUACCUAUUUUUUUAAAUAUUAAGUGUAUUCUAGAAAGAAAAUAAUUGUAUGUUUCAUGGAGUAACAAAUCAGGAACUGUGCAGGUAUGUGUUCAUCUUGAUGGGAGUUUGUCCGAGAUGCUGGGCGAGGGGAUUGUUUCCGCACUGCAUGUAUCCAAGUGUUUAGGGAUGCCUUUUGCGAACAAAUUUAGUUUUUUUUGAGCGAGCAAAUUGAUACUUUUUUUAUGAAUGUAUUCGAGUGGGUGAAAUACUCCCCAUUUGUCUCAGAGAGGUCCUGGUGUGGAAGCUUAGCACUGGGUUUGUCAUUAUUGAGGCAAGAAUAGCUUGAAUAGUUUGCAGUGCGUAAUGCAUCAUGUGUAGAAAAAGAUAGUUAUAUUUGUAUAGAGUAAAUUACAAGGUUUGAGGUAUUUGAAAAAAAAUACUUUGUUGUUUCA